rnacentral:rRNA from 1 species
GACGAACGCUGGCGGCGUGCUUAACACAUGCAAGUCGAACGGAAAGGCCCUGCUUUUGUGGGGUGCUCGAGUGGCGAACGGGUGAGUAACACGUGAGUAACCUGCCCUUGACUUUGGGAUAACUUCAGGAAACUGGGGCUAAUACCGGAUAGGAGCUCCUGCUGCAUGGUGGGGGUUGGAAAGUUUCGGCGGUUGGGGAUGGACGCGCGGCUUAUCAGCUUGUUGGUUGGGUAGUGGCUUACCAAGGCUUUGACGGGUAGCCGGCCUGAGAGGGUGACCGGCCACAUUGGGACUGAGAUACGGCGCAGACUCCUACGGGAGGCAGCAGUGGGGAAUAUUGCACAAUGGGCGGAAGCCUGAUGCAGCAACGCCGCGUGCGGGAUGACGGCCUUCGGGUUGUAAACCGCUUUCGCCUGUGACGAAGCGUGAGUGACGGUAAUGGGUAAAGAAGCACCGGCUAACUACGUG